AAAAGGGAUCAUACUAGCGUUAAUGCACUGGAUCCCAUCAGAACUCCAUAGUUAAGUGCGCUUGGGCUAGAGUAGUACUGGGAUGGGUGAUCUCCCAGGAAGUCCUAGUGUUGCACCCU
rnacentral:rRNA from 1 species